ACAUAAACUGAACUUCCCCCAUCUGCGUACACGUUAUUCAGCUUCGAUCACCUGUAAAUACUUACAGAGCACACAUCUUGGAGACAAAUGGCUUAAAAAGUCUUGGUUCAGAUAAAGAGCAGUGACAGAAAAACCUUGAAGGAAUUAAAACAGCAAAUACUCCAUCUUUUGUUGAAAAAGUUUCACCACUUCAAAAUCUUAUCAAAACUGAAUAAACUAUAGAUAAAU
rnacentral:sRNA from 1 species